UACGUAGGUGGCAAGCGUUGUCCGGAAUUAUUGGGCGUAAAGCGCGCGCAGGCGGUCUCUUAAGUCUGAUGUGAAAGCCCCCGGCUCAACCGGGGAGGGUCAUUGGAAACUGGGAGACUUGAGUGCAGAAGAGAAGAGUGGAAUUCCACGUGUAGCGGUGAAAUGCGUAGAGAUGUGGAGGAACACCAGUGGCGAAGGCGACUCUUUGGUCUGUAACUGACGCUGAGGCGGCGAAAGCGUGGGGAGCAAACAGGAUUAGAAACCCCAGUACGUC
rnacentral:rRNA from 1 species